GAUGAAGAACGCAGCGAAAUGCGAUACGUAAUGUGAAUUGCAGAAUUCAGUGAAUCAUCGAGUCUUUGAACGCACAUUGCGCCCCCUGGUAUUCCGGGGGGCAUGCCUGUCCGAGCGUCAUUGCUGCCCUCAAGCACGGCUUGUGUGUUGGGCCUCCGUGCUCCUCCAGGGGGACGGGCCCGAAAGGCAGCGGCGGCACCGCGUCCGGUCCUCGAGCGUAUGGGGCUUCGUCACCCGCUCUUGUAGGCCCGGCCGGCGCUUGCCGACACAUCAAUCUUUUUUCCAGGUUGACCUCGGAUCAGGUAGGGAUACCCGCUGAACUUAAGCAUAUCAAUAAGCGGAGGA
rnacentral:misc_RNA from 1 species